UACGAAGGGGGCUAGCGUUGCUCGGAAUUACUGGGCGUAAAGCGCACGUAGGCGGCUUCUUAAGUCGGUGGUGAAAUCCUGGAGCUCAACUCCAGAACUGCCUUCGAUACUGGGAAGCUCGAGUCCGGGAGAGGUGAGUGGAACUGCGAGUGUAGAGGUGAAAUUCGUAGAUAUUCGCAGGAACACCGGUGGCGAAGGCGGCAUCCUGGACCGGCAUUGACGCUGAGGCGCGAAAGCCAGGGGAGCAAACGGG
rnacentral:rRNA from 1 species